rnacentral:lncRNA from 1 species
GGGAUCUUUUUGGCUCUCUGCCUCUAAACAGAAUGAAGCCAAUUCAAAAACUCCUAGCUGGCCUUAUUCUACUGACUUGGUGCGUGGAAGGCUGCUCCAGCCAGCACUGGUCCUAUGGACUGCGCCCUGGAGGAAAGAGAGAUGCCGAAAAUUUGAUUGAUUCUUUCCAAGAGAUAGUCAAAGAGGUUGGUCAACUGGCAGAAACCCAACGCUUCGAAUGCACCACGCACCAGCCACGUUCUCCCCUCCGAGACCUGAAAGGAGCUCUGGAAAGUCUGAUUGAAGAGGAAACUGGGCAGAAGAAGAUUUAAAUCCAUUGGGCCAGAAGGAAUGACCAUUACUAACAUGACUUAAGUAUAAUUCUGACAUUGAAAAUUUAUAACCCAUUAAAUACCUGUAAAUGGUAUGAAUUUCAGAAAUCCUUACACCAAGUUGCACAUAUUCCAUAAUAAAGUGCUGUGUUGUGAAUG